rnacentral:sRNA from 1 species
GUAUAUGAAUCUUUGAACCCAGACUUUGGACAACUAAACUCUAUCUCUGUUUUUCCUUACUUCACAGACAUAACUAAAAUGUCCUUUGAGGAGCUUUGCUACAAGAAUCCAAAGAUGGCCAUACAGAAGAUCAGUGAUGACUACAAAAUAUACUGUGAGAAAGCACCUAAAAUAGAUUUUAAAAUGGAAAUUAUCAAGGAACUAAAGUCAGUUUCACGCUCAAAUAGGAAAAUGUCCUUGCUCAAAAGAACUCUUGUAAGGAAGCCAUCAAUGAGACCCAGAAACUUGACAGAAGUCCUCUUAAAUACACAGCACUUGGAGUUCUUCAGGGAGUUCCUCAAGGAACGGAACGCUGAAAGCCCAUUGCAAUUUCUCAUAGCUGUACAGAAUAUCAGUAUGGAGACCAAUGAAAAGAUUUGCAAGUCUCUCAUAGAAAAUGUAAUCAAGACUUUCUUCCAAGGCCAACUCUCUCCUGAAGAAAUGCUUCAAUGUGAUGUCCCUAUUGUCAAACAAAUCGCUUCCAUGCGUCAUGUCACCACAAGCACACUGUUAAUGCUCCAGGGACAUAUUAUGAAAUCUAUAGAAGAAAAGUGGUUUAAAGAUUAUCAAGACCUGUUCCCACCUUGCCCUCAGGAGGUGGAAGUGCAAAGUGAAGUACAAAUUUCGUCUAGGAAGCCCUCAAAGAUAGUGUCAACUUACCUACAGGAAUCCCAGAAGAAAGGCUGGCUGAGAAUGAUCAGCUUUAUCAGGAGUUUUUGCAAGUACCGCAGAUUUAUGUUGAAUCCUAGUAAGCGCCAGGAAUUUGAAGACUAUCUUCACCAGGAAAUGCAAAAUAGCAAGGAAAAUUUCACCACACCACACAACACAUCGGGACGUUCAGCUCCGCCCUCCACAAAUGUCCGGAGUGCAGACCAAGAGAAUGGAGAAAUAACCCUUGUAAAGCGUCGUAUAUUUGGCCACAGGAUUAUCACUGUCAACUUUGUGAUCAAUGAUCUAUAUUUCUUUUCUGAAAUGGAGAAAUUUAAUGAUCUGGUAAGUUCAGCCCACAUGCUGCAGGUCAACCGGGCAUACAAUGAGAAUGAUGUGAUCCUAAUGCGGUCCAAAAUGAACAUUAUCCAAAAACUCUUCCUGAAUUCUGACAUCCCUCCAAAGCUGAGGGUGAAUGUCCCUGAGUCCCAGAAGGAUGCCAUCCUUUCUGCCAUCACAGAGGGCUACCUAGAUCGGAGCAUCUUCCACGGGGCUAUCAUGUCUGUCUUUCCCAUCGUUAUGUACUUCUGGAAAAGGUAACUGUUUCUCCUUAUUCAGUGACUGCUAGAUCAGGAAAACACACUUAGUUUGGAGAGAGUUUUCUGCCUUCCUCUAGCACUCUGUUUCAUAGUUUCCAGUUUCUAGGGGAAACUAAGAUGGUGUUUUCUUAUCCUAUUCACCUCACUCCAUCCCUCACACAGAACACCAAACACUGAAUCCACAGAUGGAAGGCAGAGUAAGACUGAGAGCCAAAUGCCUGGUUUCCCACCCCUCCUCUUUCCAUGCUUGCUUGGAGCAAGAACGUGAGGUUUUCUUAGGCCUGGGUUUCUCACAAGAAGGUAAGAGUGAACCACAGCCCCUUGGGGAGAAAUUCUGUCAAGACUAACACAACUGCUUGAGCUUAAGAAGCUACAUGAAGAAAGUAAGCCAGAAGUGUUUUGCUCUGUUAUGCCCAAAUCCCCGUAAUUACCACUGAGGGGGCACAGUUGCUAAAUACUCCCAUUAUCAAGAGGAGCUAGACAUUGAAAUGUGUAUUUCAUCUCUCCCAAGGUUAAAGUGGCAAGUAUGGCAACUAACAAAACUAAAACAUGGUGAAGAACCUGUGAAGGCCAAAUACCAAAAAUGAAACAAGCAAAAUAUAUGCAGAUGUUUUGUGGCCAAAUGCAUUCUGUGGCCCACUGGUUUCUAACCUGUCCUGUGGAGAUUUGGCCUGAGCCUUCCCAGCUGGUCAUUUAUUCCUGUGGUCUGCCAGAGUUCCAGCUCAUAUCUUCCACAUGGUGAAUGGCAGUGCCUUGGGUGGUAGUGACCAGAGGACACCUGCCUGAAAUGUUCCCAGACAAAGCUAAUCAGGACACUUAGAUUAUCAUGUGACUUGGACUCUUAGAAGUUCCCAUCUUCCACCAAAAAAAAAAAAAGUUACUUUAUUAAAAUAGAAGUGUGAAAUUGCUUACCAAUCUCUCACCUUUAUUUUAAAAUCCUUAAGAUAAUAAAUUAUUUAAUACAGAACCGAAAGAAGUACAAAAAUCUAACUUCAAGACAAGCAAUUUAAUCUUUUGAACAUCAAAUGUUGUCUAGAACUUAAUUCUGGUUCUCCUAGCAAGGACUAAAUAGAUAUUCACCCAGAGACUUUUGGAGAGAUUGGGAACCUCUGGGAAAUAUGUGCUUCUCUUGAAUAAGCCAGUGUUUAGCUGUCUCCCAUGUGCUUAGAGAAAUGAGACAUGCUUUAGGGAGGCUUUGGAUUCCUGUUCCUCCUGCAGUUUCUUUAUUUACUUUCCUACAUACUUAUAAAGAAAUUUAUGUUAUGCAAACUGUGUUUACAUAUAUUAUCUUAAAUGAACCUCUCCACAACCCUACACAGUGGGUGGGGAGGAGUAUUAUUAUCCCUGUUUUACAGAUGAGGAGACUGAGGUUCAGAGUGGUUGAGGGACUUGACUAGAAUCACUUGGUAAGUGGUAAAACCAGCAUUAGAAACCAGGUCUCUUGGUCUCUCAUCACCAUAAAUAAUGCAUGUGUGGCAUACUGGGAGGUCCAUUAGGGGAAGGAGACCCAGUUCAGCAAGUGAAAUGGGAAAAGCCUACUGGGAUAGAACAGACUGUCCCUCAAGGAGAGGGGAGGAGGACAGCAGGCAAAACCACCAGAUCCAAAGUGCCAUAGAAAAUAAAUUCAGUCUUAGCCAAGAUUGACCUCCAAGGGGUCCAAUCCAAGGACUAGUUGAAGGUAGGGAUAACAAAGGGCUUGGGGCCAGGAGGGAAGAGAUGAUGGGGAGUAUUGCACAGGCUUCUAGAGAACAUAAAGGUCAUAAAGAGUACAUAAAUCUGAGUUCACAUGAGAAACCAGAUCUAUUCCAGGGAAGGGCCCACUGGGAAUACAGUGAGGUGGUCAAGGCUGUCAGUAAGGGGCAGGGUGGAAACUAGGAUUAGGACCUGAGCAAAAGCCCUUUGGACACUCUGGCUAUACCAGGUGGGGUUAGAUAGGGAUGUCAGAGUCUGAUGCUGGGGUGCACCCCAGGGGUUAACCUCACCCCAAGCCUCAGGAUAGCAGGCCCUUUACAGGCUCCAUUCACUGAUGGUUCCAGAAAGAAGCCCCAACAAACUGCCCAUGCCAGGCCCGCGCUGGAGCCAGGUCUGGACAAAGAUAUGGCCUCAGAACAAAGGCCACUGGCAGGUAGCACCCCAAGGCCAGGAUGCUCUCCUCUUCUCUGUUGGACACCCACAUUCUCUGAGGACUGGCCCGGCCCCGUUUCCCCUGUGCUCGGUGCUCCAGCCCCCUCCACUGGGGGUUCCCUCCUAUGACCAGAAGCCAUUCUUCCCACAGGUUUUGUUUCUGGAAGGCGACCAGCUCUUACUUACAGUAUAGGGGGAAAAAGUUCAAGGACAGAAAAAGCCCUCCUAAAUCUACGGACAAGUAUCCUUUCUCGAGUGGAGGAGACAAUGCCAUCUUAAGGUUCACCUUGCUCAGAGGUAUUGAGUGGUUGCAGCCUCAACGGGAAGCAAUAAGUUCAGUUCAAAAUUCUUCAUCAAGCAAACUUACUCAGCCAAGACUCGUGGUAUCUGCCAUGCAGCUGCAUCCUGUCCAGGGGUAGGCAUGAGCUGGAAAUCCUCUUCAGUUCAGAGCUGCUAUGUCCAAGCAUGCAAUGGGAGAUGGUAUAAACUUUCCAGAGACUAGCCUCAUACCCUGCCUCUCCUCAGCAUGCAGAACCUAGAAACUGAGCUUGCUGCCUCUGGUGGGAAGUUAAGAAGGUGUUUCUCUGUGGGGGUCCUUUCUCACCUCCAACUAGGACAGGCACUUUUAAGAAGUUGGAGUCUCUGACCCACUUUUCAGUAGAACACUACUGCUGUGGAAGUGUCCCAGAUGAUCUUUGAUUUUUAUUUUUAAUUUUUAUAGAUUUAAGGAGCACAAGUGCAGUUUUGUUACAUGGAUAUAUUGGGAAGUAGUGAAGUCUAGGGUUUUAGUUUAGUCAUCAUCCAAAUAGUAUACAUUGUGCCCAUUAGGUAAUUUCUCACCCUUACCCACCUCCCACUCUCGCACCCUUCCAAGUCUCCAGUGUCUAUUAUUUCGCGGUCAAUGUCCAGAUGUACAUAAUAUUUAGCUCUCACUUGUAACUGAGAACAUGCAAUACUUGACUUUCCAUUUCUGAGUUAUUUCACUUAAGAUAAUGGUCUCCAGUUCCAUCCAUGUUGCUGCAAAAGACAUGAUGUUAUCUUUUUGUGACUGAUUAGUAUUACAUUGUGUAUAUGUAUCCUACAUUCUCUUUAUUCAGAUGAUCUUUUAUUGCCAGCUUCCUAAAUAUUCCAGGCUGCUCAGGGCAGGGUGCAUAAGGUGGGAAAGAAAGAAGAUCUGUUCUUCUGCUUGGCAGGAUAUUGGCAAUAAGAACAGAAGGGACUUGAGUCUGUUAAAAUCUGCUUCAGCCUAACUCACUUCUGCACAAGCUUCCAAGUGAAACUGAUGCUAAGUUAGGGCUCUGGGAGAAUCCCCAGGGGUCAUGAAAACCAUAGCUGAGGAGUGCCAAAGAGUUAUUUGAAGGCCAAGGUGGUAGACAGCAGCCUCUGAAUGACAGGCCUGGUGUCCUUGCCAGCCACGUCACUUCUCAGGCCUGUUUCCAGACUUGUCCUUCCAACAGGGACUUGGAGCUGCCCAGGUAUUAUUUGCCUGUCCCAGUGCCCAGAAGACAAACCAGAUACUUUGAAGCUCUUUACACUGGAAAAGCAAUGCAUGGCUUCAGAGUUUAUAAGACCUUGGGGAAGAAGGUGAGACUAAGAAUGUGAGAAGCCCUAUUCUGAAGCCUGAAGGUUUCAGUUUUGGCUAUUGCCAUUCCUAAAGGAAAUGACAGUGGCAAACCAACAGAGAAUGCAACUUCAAUUACUGCAUCAUAAUUGUGAUAACUGGCUGUUUUCUCUCUCUUCAGACAAAAAUUAUCCUACACCAGAAAAGAGAAGAAGUAAUCAAGCCAGACCCCCAGCAGAGGCAAAUCAUCUCUCAGAGGCCUCUAACACUGACAGAACCUUUUCUGGUCAAAAAUGAAAGGCCCUGGUGCCAUCUUCCCCAGAAACGAUCAAGAAGGGCAAUGGGUUGACAGCCCAUAUAUGGCAGUACCAGACUGCAAUGGGAAUCUCACACAGCCCAUUCAGACUAAAGGGUGAUGGAAAGAGGCAGAGGAAAGCAGAAAGAGCAAGAGUGACUGAGACCUGCCUUCAUCUAUAUAGAAGCCUUUUCUGAUACAUGUCAGAGAGUGACAUGAAGCCUCCCCUCUUUAUACAGAAGUAUGAAAAGACAUCUAUCCCUCAUUUUGAGAGCCUCCAACUUAUCCAAGUGUCAUCCAGAGGAGGAGGUGGCCUGUGUGUGCAGGACCUCAGGGUGCCAGUCCUCACCCAUACACCUCCAGGGCUGCAGGUCAUUAGCCAGAAUAAAGGAUGUCCACAUUC